rnacentral:tRNA from 1 species
GUAGACGUAGUUUAACAAAAAUGCCAGAUUGUGAUUCUGAAGACAGAGGUUAGAAUCCUCCCGCCCACC